GCAUUGGUGAUUCAGUGGUAGAAUUCUUGCCUUCUAUGCAGGAGACCUGGGUUUGAUUCCCUGCCAAUGCA
rnacentral:tRNA from 1 species